UGCGUAGGCGGUCCGAUAGGUCUGAUGUGAAAGCCCUGGGCUCAACUCAGGAACUGCAUUGGAAACUGACGGACUGGAGUACCGGAGAGGGAAGCGGAAUUCCUGGUGUAGCGGUGAAAUGCGUAGAUACCAGGAGGAACACCGGUGGCGAAGGCGGUUUCCUGGCCGAGUACUGACGCUGAGGCACGAAAGCGUGGGGAGCGAACG
rnacentral:rRNA from 1 species